UACGUAGGGUGCAAGCGUUAAUCGGAAUUACUGGGCGUAAAGCGUGCGCAGGCGGUUGUGUAAGACAGAUGUGAAAUCCCCGGGCUCAACCUGGGAACUGCAUUGUGACUGCACGGCUGGAGUGCGGCAGAGGGGAUGGAAUUCCGCGUGUAGCAGUGAAAUGCGUAGAUAUGCGGAGGAACAGCCGAUGGCGAAGGCAAUCCCCUGGCCUGCACU
rnacentral:rRNA from 1 species